rnacentral:lncRNA from 1 species
CAGCUCAGGAGUGGCAGAGCUGAGCUUCUAACGCAGAGCUGACCUUCUUGUCACCUUGAGGAAACCACUGGCUCCCCCAUCGACCCCGAGAAGGGGCGGCAGGACACACCUCAUGCCCCCCAGAGCCCACGGUCGGGCUUCCCAUCGCCACCGUUUUUGCGUACCCGGUGGGGACUCGAUGCUAUGCUCCUGUGGAAGGCAUUUCAAAACCACAGAGGACUUGAGAGAAGGCACUUCUUUCAGAGGCAAGCGUGGACCACACCCGGGAUUGGCCAGGCACAUCGUUGCCAUGGCAAUGUGACUCACA